rnacentral:rRNA from 1 species
UACGUAGGUGGCAAGCGUUGUCCGGAUUUACUGGGCGUAAAGAGCGCGCAGGCGGCUGGUCAAGUCCGAUGUGAAAUCUCCCGGCUUAACUGGGAAACUGCAUCGGAAACUGAUCGGCUUGAAGGUGGGAGAGGGUAGUGGAAUUCCCGGUGUAGUGGUGAAAUGCGUAGAUAUCGGGAGGAACACCAGUGGCGAAAGCGGCAUCCUGGCUCAGCACUGACGCUCAGACACGACAGCAUGGGGAGCGAACGGG